UACGUAGGUGACAAGCGUUGUCCGGAUUUACUGGGCGUAAAGAGCGCGCAGGCGGUCGAUCAAGUCGAGUGUGAAAGCCCCCGGCUCAACUGGGGAGGGUCAUUCGAUACUGAUCGACUCGAAGGCAGGAGAGGGUAGUGGAAUUCCCGGUGUAGUGGUGAAAUGCGCAGAUAUCGGGAAGAACACCCGUGGCGAAGGCGGUUCUCUGGGACGGUACUGACGCUGAGACGCGAAAGCGUGGGGAGCGAACAGG
rnacentral:rRNA from 1 species